ensembl:miRNA dre-mir-15b microRNA 15b
GUCUGUCGUCAUCUUUUUAUUUAGCCCUGAGUGCCCUGUAGCAGCACAUCAUGGUUUGUAAGUUAUAAGGGCAAAUUCCGAAUCAUGAUGUGCUGUCACUGGGAGCCUGGGAGUUUCUCCAUUAACAUGACAGC